GACGAACGCUGGCGGCGUGCUUAACACAUGCAAGUCGAACGGAAAGGCCCUGCUUUUGUGGGGUGCUCGAGUGGCGAACGGGUGAGUAACACGUGAGUAACCUGCCCUUGACUUUGGGAUAACUUCAGGAAACUGGGGCUAAUACCGGAUAGGAGCUCCUGCUGCAUGGUGGGGGUUGGAAAGUUUCGGCGGUUGGGGAUGGACUCGCGGCUUAUCAGCUUGUUGGUGGGGUAGUGGCUUACCAAGGCUUUGACGGGUAGCCGGCCUGAGAGGGUGACCGGCCACAUUGGGACUGAGAUACGCACCAGACUCCUACCGGAGGAAGCAGUGGGGAAUAUUGCACAAUGGGCGGAAGCCUGAUGCAGCAACGCAGCGCGGGGGAUGACGGCCUUCGGGUUGUAAACCGCUUUCGCCUGUGACGAAGAGUGAGGGACGGUAAUGGGUAAAGAAGCAACGGCUAACUACGGG
rnacentral:rRNA from 1 species